ACAUCCACAUCAGCCCAGCUGUCCAUCUCUCUGUCUGUCUGCCUGUCUACAACUAGCCCCCAGGGGCCUGGGAUGGGCCUGGGCAGUUUGGGGAAGGAAGGGAAAAUUGGGUUCUAGAAGAAGAUGGUGUUCCAGCUCAUGAGACUGGAGCUCAUGAUACUGGUGGGGAGACAAGCAUGAGGAGGGUGGUGACCUACCCACAACCCCCCAUGGUGCCCAGCAGUUUUGACAAUGCAGGAGCUGGGCCUCCAGGGUCCCCAUGCUGAAGGAGUGAUGGUGUCAGGAGAGAGAAUCCAGGCAGGAUCUGCAGACGUGGUGCCCUUUGAGGUGUCAAAGACUAGAUUUCCUAGGCAACCCUGCUAGAAUUCAGGGCUAGUCAUUGCCCCUUGCUGUGACCUGGCAGCCUCCGAGUAACCCAAGAAGGUGGAUGGGCUGGCUGCAUUUUACAUGUGAAGAAAUUGAGGUUCAGGUCACAGGACUGGUGGGUGACACCUUGUUUCUGAAGGAGGGUACAGUGCUUGAAUCCUCAAGGUAGCCUUUUGAGGACCAGAUAUAUUGUCAGAGCAGGAGGUUGAGCUCAGGGAAGGAUAGCGACUUGUAUACUGUCACAUAGCAGGUCUGCAGGACAGCCUGGGGUCACACUCUUGCCUGCCAGACACAUCGCAGUCUGGAUUCCUGGUUCUCCCAGCAUGUACCCCACCACUCUUCCUCAUCUUGGCAGCCUUUUCUUCUGGUCACUUUAUUACUGAGCAUCUACUGGGUGCCCAGCAGUGGAUAAGACAGACAUGGCCCCUGUCCUAGUCUGGAGAAGAGAAUGGGCAACUAAACAUUCAGCACAUAAAUAAUCAUAGAAUGUAAAGCAGGUAUACUUAGGGACUUCUGCCCUAAAACCAGAGCUGUUCCCAGGAGCUGGACCAGGGGAUAGCUGAAAAGAGAACGCCUUUCCAUAAAUCCACUGGGAGGGUCUGUUGGGGAGAGAGCAGGGAGGGAUUCUUGGAAGUGGGGAAGGUGCCAGAUUGAGUCUUCUCCAAUGGUUAUGGCUUGGUCUUGGG
rnacentral:lncRNA from 10 species